GACGAACGCUGGCGGCGUGCUUAACACAUGCAAGUCGAACGGAAAGGCCCUGCUUUUGUGGGGUGCUCGAGUGGCGAACGGGUGAGUAACACGUGAGUAACCUGCCCUUGACUUUGGGAUAACUUCAGGAAACUGGGGCUCAUACCGGAUAGGAGCUCCUGCUGCGUGGUGGGGGUUGGAAAGUUUCGGCGGUUGGGGAUGGAUUCGCGGCUUAUCAGCUUGUUGGUGGGGUAGUGGCUUACCAAGGCUUUGACGGGUAGGCGGCCUGAGAGGGUGAACGGCCACAAGGGGACUGCGAGACGCACCAGAAUCGUAUGGGAGGCAGUAGUGGGGAAUAUUGCACAAUGGGGGGAAGCCUGAGGCAGCAACGCUGCGUGCGGGAUGAUGGCCUUCGGGUUGUAAACAGCUUUCGAAUGUGACGAAGCGUGAGUGACGGUAACGGGUAAAGAAGCAACGGCUAACUACGUG
rnacentral:rRNA from 1 species